UCAAUUGACACUUAUACCUAACCUCUUUAGCGCGAAUAUGAUAUUUUCAAUUUCUUUCAAAAACAAAAUUUGACGUAUAUCGUCGUUAAUUCGAAACUCUCGAGAACUCACCUGACGAACAAAGUUCUCUCGAAACUAGGCAUAACAUCGUAUACUUGCGAUUACUAAGACCAAACCAAGUUCAUGUGAAACUCGGUUUAAACAAAUGGCAAUGUGAUUGAAUGAAAAUAAAAAAAAAAGAAGAAAAAGAAAUACAUAAAAGACGAGACGAAUUGAUGAUCGAAAGUAACGGGUCAACCAGAUUGACAGGUUGCUGUUAUGUUGAUCGAAGAACGUAUAAAUUCUCUUGCAUGGUCGUUCGAUGAUUUUCUCGAAAUAUGUGUAUUAAUUAUCACGUGAAAUAUAUGUAUUAAUACCAUAAAGUAGAGAUUUCGUCUAGUAAUAUUAAAAAAGACAACCAAAAAAAAAAAUACUGAAAAAGAAAAACGUUUUGGUGAUAAUAAUAAUAAAUAAUAAUUAUACAGCUCGAAUAUAUAUGUUAAACACGUUACUGAACUCAAAGACCGACUUGAAAACGUAAAGAAAAAAAAACGGAUGGCUGGCGGCCAUUGGUUCAUAAACAAAUUUUUUUUUCGUUGGUAACAAAGAAACGAAGAAAGAAAAAAAAAUUUGACUGCCUUUGGAUGGGCGAGUCACAUGUCUUUAUGGGGGAAUAUCCUAAUAUCUCUCUAUCUCUGCUUGCAGAUUUUUAUUAAAAUUAACAAGAUGCGAUAAAAUACAUGUGAACGUUGGCGAUAAUUUUUUUCUACAAAAAAGAGGGUGGAGCAAAUGUAAUUAAUAAGAACGAUCGAUCGAUCAAGUCGAAUCUAAUCUAAUUUAAUUGAAUCGAAUUGAAUCGAAUCAUACUGAUUCGAUCGGUCGAAUGUAAAAAUGCUUAACAAAAGAUAAUGAUUCGCGCUAUUAAUUAACGUGCCAAUUAAAUUAACGUGCAAAUCGUUCAUCGCAAUCGUAGAUUUGAGAUGGAUUGGGAUACGUUUAACGUUCCUUA